ACCUGGGUGGCUCAGUGGUUGAGCAUCUGCCUUCGGACCAGGUCAUGAGUCCAGGGUCCUGGGAUCGAGUCCCGCAUCAGGUU
rnacentral:tRNA from 1 species